UUCUUCUUCUUCUUCUUCUUCUUCUACUACAUCUUUGAGUUUGCAUCCUGAUCCUGAAUCUGUUUCCUUCAGUAGAAGUUCUAGUCACUCGAGUUCUGGGUUUGGCCGAUAUGUAAGCAGACGCAGAAGAGGUUUGGAUUUGGAAGUUGAGAAUGGGACCGAAAGGUGGUGAUUCGAAAUUGAAAAGCACAAUGGUACUCAGGUUCGAUUUUUAUUUUUUCAUCAAUGUAUAUAGAAUUUAAUUAAAUAGGCAAGAAUUUGGUAUUGAAUUCUAGUUCUAUUCCUGAUCAAGGCUUGCAAAGACCAAAGAGAAUCUUUUUAAUUUUAAUCAGAUGGGGACACAAGCAGAAAAUUUGGUUGUCCCUUCAUAUGGCAAAAUUUUGUUGUGGUUCUGGAGAGAUGGGAAAGACCUAAAAAUUGCAAAGUUUGUUUGAAUUAGGAAAAUUUGCAAAUGUAGAAAUGGCACGUUGAUAUUUGUAAGCUUAAUUGUUUUUCUUUUUCUUUCUUUGGCAUUCAUUCUAUGAAUUCCCUCCCCUUCCCCCACGGGAUACACACAAAGACGCACACUUUUAUGUUAUUGGAAUAUGCUGGAUUGAAAGGUUAUUUAAGUUUAGCUUGUCUAGCGAUUAUUUCUUGCCUUUUACUGGCUGAUGCGGAUAAUGACUCUUUAAAGUUGGAGUUAUUAGGCCUGGCUAAUGCAAAUGGAUUAAUCAUAUUUGCGGCCUAAUCAUGUUACUGCCUGCUGGUAGUUCAAUGUUUAUAAUGGCAUGUCUGAUCCUUUUCUUGACAAAACGACGUGCUGCUGGAAUUGUGGCUCAAAAAGCACCAAUUUCAUCAUGUGCCUACUUUUGAGAGCUCUUUUGCCUUUUUCUUUGCUUGUUGUUGGUGGCUUUGGAUCUGUAAUUGAAGCAGUGAAACCCAUUAACCCAAUGAGCAUCUGUCUCUUUUUUAUUAGGAAUUGCAAUAAAA
rnacentral:misc_RNA from 1 species